rnacentral:rRNA from 1 species
AAAGAAACCAACAGGGAUGCCCUAGUAACGGCGAGUGAAGCGGCAACAGCUCAAAUUUGAAAUCUGGCCCUCGGGUCCGAGUUGUAAUUUGUAGAGGAUGCUUUUGGUGAGGUACCUUCCGAGUUCCCUGGAACGGGACGCCAUAGAGGGUGAGAGCCCCGUCUGGUUGGAUACCGAUCCUCUGUAAAGCUCCUUCGACGAGUCGAGUAGUUUGGGAAUGCUGCUCUAAAUGGGAGGUAUAUGUCUUCUAAAGCUAAAUAUUGGCCAGAGACCGAUAGCGCACAAGUAGAGUGAUCGAAAGAUGAAAAGCACUUUGAAAAGAGAGUUAAAAAGUACGUGAAAUUGUUGAAAGGGAAGCGCUUAUGACCAGACUUGGACUUGGUUGAUCAUCCUGGGUUCUCCCUGGUGCACUCUUCCAGUUCAGGCCAGCAUCAGUUCGCUGCGGGGGAUAAAAGUUUUGGGAAUGUGGCUCCCUCGGGAGUGUUAUAGCCCAUUGCAUAAUACCCUGCUCCGGACUGAGGUUCGCGCAUCUGCAAGGAUGCUGGCGUAAUGGUCAUCAGCGACCCGUCUUGAAACACGGACCAAGGAGUCGUCUUCGUAUGCGAGUGUUCGGGUGUUAAACCCCUACGCGUAAUGAAAGUGAACGCAGGUGAGAGCUUCGGCGCAUCAUCGACCGAUCCUGAUGUUCUCGGAUGGAUUUGAGUAAGAGCAUACGGGGCCGGACCCGAAAGAAGGUGAACUAUGCCUGUAUAGGGUGAAGCCAGAGGAAACUCUGGUGGAGGCUCGCAGCGGUUCUGACGUGCAAAUCGAUCGUCAAAUAUGGGCAUGGGGCGAAAGACUAAUCGAACCCUCUAGUAGCUGAUCUCCGCCGAAGUUUCCCUCAGGA